AACGAACGCUGGCGGCAGGCUUAACACAUGCAAGUCGAACGCAUCCUUCGGGGUGAGUGGCAGACGGGUGAGUAACGCGUGGGAACGUGCCCUUCAGUUCGGGAUAACCCAGGGAAACUUGGGCUAAUACCGGAUACGUGCGAGAGCAGAAAGAUUUAUCACUGAAGGAUCGGCCCGCGUCUGAUUAGCUAGUUGGUGGGGUAAUGGCACACCAAGGCGAAGAUCAGUAGCUGGUCUGAGAGGAUGACCAGCCACAUUGGGACUGAGACACGGCCCAAACUCCUACGGGAGGCAGCAGUGGGGAAUAUUGGACAAUGGGCGCAAGCCUGAUCCAGCCAUGCCGCGUGAGUGAUGAAGGCCUUAGGGUUGUAAAGCUCUUUCGUCCGGGACGAUAAUGACGGUACCGGAAGAAGAAGCCCCGGCUAACUUCGUGCCAGCCGCCGCCGUAAGAC
rnacentral:rRNA from 1 species